UACAACUCCACAAACUCAUCCCAGGCAAAGCUUUCCCAUGGUUGGACAUAUAACAUUAGCAAGAAGUGAACUCCUAUUGUACAUCACCAACAUUUCUGAACCUUUUGUUACUACAGCAAAACAGCCUCAGCUGACUGAUGUGUCACCUCUCCUGUUUGCUCUCCUUAGCAACAGCGUCAUUUUCCACAUUGGUUAGAAGAUGGUCAAAUGAUCCCAGAUGUCAUCUUCUGGCAUGAUGACAUCCAGAGCAAGAAGACAGAACGACCAUCUCAGGGCCCUUUCUUCUCAGUUGUCUCCACAAACAUGGUCUCUUCUCACUUGGAAACAGGAAUGUAGGUGGACUCAGCCGCCAAGGGUCCCAGACUCCAGAAUGCUCAUGAAAGACCUACUGUGCAAAAUUCCCUGCCGGUUUCCUUCUCACCUAAGGAUCACCAGAGAGAUCACCAGAG